UUGCGGUGUAAAAUGAGCUUGCGUCCUAUUAGCUAGUUGGUGAGGUAAUGGCUCACCAAGGCUACGAUGGGUAGGGGUUCUUAGUGGAAGGUCCCCCACACUGGCACUGAGAUACGGGCCAGACUCCUACGGGAGGCAGCAGUAGGGAAUAUUGGUCAAUGGGCGCAAGCCUGAACCAGCCAUGCCGCGUGCAGGAUGAAGGCUCUCUGAGUUGUAAACUGCUUUUGUACAGGAGCAAAAAAAUCCCUGCGGGGGUUCUUGAGAGUACUGUAAGAAUAAGCACCGGCUAAUUCCGUGCCAGCAGCCGCGGUAAUACGGGAGGUGCAAGCGUUAUCCGGUUUUAUUGGGUUUAAAGGGUGCGUAGGCGGCUUAUUAAGUCAGUUGUGAAAUCCUAGU
rnacentral:rRNA from 1 species